AGUAUCUCAUUCAUAUUAGCUUUGGGAGGUCUUUCAUCCAAUUGAUUUGGAUUUAAGAACCCUCAGCUAUCAUCAAUCUUAGGAUUGGGUACUUGAAGAUCUCUGAUCUUUCGAAUACUGAAUUUUCU
rnacentral:misc_RNA from 1 species